rnacentral:rRNA from 1 species
GAUGAACGCUGGCGGCGUGCCUAAUACAUGCAAGUCGAGCGAACGGACGAGAAGCUUGCUUUUCUGAUGUUAGCGGCGGACGGGUGAGUAACACGUGGAUAACCUACCUAUAAGACUGGGAUAACUUCGGGAAACCGGAGCUAAUACCGGAUAAUAUUUUGAACCGCAUGGUUCAAAAGUGAAAGACGGUCUUGCUGUCACUUAUAGAUGGAUCCGCGCUGCAUUAGCUAGUUGGUAAGGUAACGGCUUACCAAGGCAACGAUGCAUAGCCGACCUGAGAGGGUGAUCGGCCACACUGGAACUGAGACACGGCCCAGACUCCUACGGGAGGCAGCAGUAGGGAAUCUUCCGCAAUGGGCGAAAGCCUGACGGAGCAACGCCGCGUGAGUGAUGAAGGUCUUCGGAUCGUAAAACUCUGUUAUUAGGGAAGAACAUAUGUGUAAGUAACUGUGCACAUCUUGACGGUACCUAAUCAGAAAGCCACGGCCAACUACGUG